UACCUGGUUUGAUCCUGCCAGUAGUCAUAUGCUUGUCUCAAAGAUUAAGCCAUGCAUGUCUAAGUACAGGCCGAACCAAGGCGAAACCGCGAAUGGCUCAUUAAAUCAGUUAUGGUUCAUUGGAUCUCACCUUAUUUUACUUGGAUAACUGUGGUAAUUCUAGAGCUAAUACAUGAUGCCCCAGCUCCGACCGCAAGGAAAGAGCGCUUUUAUUAGAUCAAAACCAAUCGGGCUUCGGUCCGUUCUCACUGUGGUGACUCUGAAUAACUUUGAGCUGAGCGCAUGGUCUUCGAACCGGCGCCAUAUCCUUCAAGUGUCUGCCUUAUCAGCUUUCGAUUGUAGGUUAUGCGCCUACAAUGGCUAUAACGGGUAACGGGGAAUCAGGGUUCGAUUCCGGAGAGGGAGCCUGAGAAACGGCUACCACAUCUAAGGAAGGCAGCAGGCACGCAAAUUACCCACUCCCGGCUCGGGGAGGUAGUGACGAAAAAUAACGAUGCGGGACUCUUCCGAGGCCUCGCAAUCGGAAUGAGUACACUUUAAAUCCUUUAACGAGGAUCUAUUGGAGGGCAAGUCUGGUGCCAGCAGCCGCGGUAAUUCCAGCUCCAAUAGCGUAUAUUAAAGUUGCUGCGGUUAAAAAGCUCGUAGUUGGAUCUCAGUUCCGGACCGACGGUGCACCGCCCGGUGCCUACUGUCGGCUUCCGAACAGCCGCACGCCGGCUCGGCCGGGGUGCUCUUCAUCGAGUGUCCCGGUUUCGGCCGGCACGUUUACUUUGAAAAAAUUAGAGUGCUCAGCGCAGGCUGCAACGCCUGAAUAAUCUGUGCAUGGAAUAAUGGAAUAGGACCUCGGUUCUAUUUUGUUGGUUUUCGGAACCCGAGGUAAUGAUUAAUAGGAACUGUCGGGGGCAUUCGUAUUGCGACGUUAGAGGUGAAAUUCUUGGAUCGUCGCAAGACGGACUACUGCGAAAGCAUUUUGCCAAGAAUGUUUUCAUUAAUCAAGAACGAAAGUUAGAGGUUCGAAGGCGAUCAGAUACCGCCCUAGUUCUAACCAUAAACGAUGCCAACCAGCGAUCCGCCGGCGUUAUUCCCAUGACUCGGCGGGCAGCUUCCGGGAAACCAAAGUCUCUGGGUUCCGGGGGAAGUAUGGUUGCAAAGCUGAAACUUAAAGGAAUUGACGGAAGGGCACCACCAGGAGUGGAGCCUGCGGCUUAAUUUGACUCAACACGGGGAACCUCACCAGGCCCGGACACCGGAAGGAUUGACAGAUUGAGAGCUCUUUCUCGAUUCGGUGGGUGGUGGUGCAUGGCCGUUCUUAGUUGGUGGAGCGAUUUGUCUGGUUAAUUCCGAUAACGAACGAGACUCAAA
rnacentral:rRNA from 1 species